CUAAAUGGUAAUAGAGCUGGCAUCUCUGUGAUUCCCUUGACCUUUCCUCAUGGUUCCAAGAUGGCUGUCAGAGCUCCAGAUAUCUCAUCCAUGUUCAAAG